UUCAAUGGCGGCUCAGAUGGGAGCUUCUUCGGAAGCGCCGGUUUUCCCUUGUGUGUCCGGUAAUGCGAAUCCUGUCUGGGCUGCCACCAAU
rnacentral:antisense_RNA from 2 species